rnacentral:misc_RNA from 1 species
UUAAGUUCAGCGGGUAGUCCUACCUGAUCCGAGGUCAAAAUUGUGAAGAUAGCUUCUGGGAGCCGAUCCGUCGGGCCCGAGUUCGCGUUUCUGCUGCGCUCGAAGCCAACGUGCCGGCCGCCAAUAGAUUUGAGGCGAGUCCACGCCGCGAGGCAGGACAGACGCCCAACACCAAGCAGAGCUUGAAGGUUUGAAUGACG